UACGUAGGGUGCGAGCGUUGCCCGGAUUUAUUGGGCGUAAAGGGCGCGUAGGCGGUCACGCACGUCCGUUGUGAAAUCGCUCGGCUCAACUGGGCGGGGUCAGCGGAUACGGCGUGGCUGGAGCAAGCUAGGGGGCAAUGGGAAUUCCCGGUGUAGUGGUGGAAUGCGUAGAGAUUAGGAAGAACACCGGUGGCGAAGGCGGGUCUCUGGGCCGAUACUGACGCUGAGGAGCGAAAGCGUGGGGAGCGAACAGG
rnacentral:rRNA from 1 species